rnacentral:Y_RNA from 1 species
GGCUGGUCUGAAGAUAGCGAGAUAUCUCAAUUGAUUUUCCACAGUCAGUUACAGAUCAAACACCUUGUUCUACUCUUUCACCCCUUCUCACCACUGCACUUGACUAGUCUUUU